UACAGAGGUCUCAAGCGUUGUUCGGAUUCAUUGGGCGUAAAGGGUGCGUAGGUGGCGGGGCAAGUCUGGUGUGAAAUCCUGGGGCUCAACCCCGGAACUGCACUGGAUACUGCUUUGCUAGAGUACUGGAGAGGGAACUGGAAUUUACGGUGUAGCAGUGAAAUGCGUAGAUAUCGUAAGGAAGACCAGUGGCGAAGGCGGCGACCUGGGUAGAUACUGACGCUGAGGCGCGAAAGCGUGGGGAGCAAACAGG
rnacentral:rRNA from 1 species